UACAGAGGGUGCGAGCGUUGUCCGGAAUCACUGGGCGUAAAGGGCGCGUAGGUGGCGACCCAAGUCCGUGGUGAAAGCUCGUCGCUCAACGACGAGUCGGCCACGGAGACUGGGUGGCUCGAGCACUGUAGGGGCAGAUGGAAUUCCGGGUGUAGCGGUGGAAUGCGUAGAGAUCCGGAAGAACACCGGUGGCGAAGGCGGUCUGCUGGGCAGUAGCUGACACUGAGGCGCGGACAGCGUGGGGAGCAAACGGG
rnacentral:rRNA from 1 species